rnacentral:rRNA from 1 species
GACGAACGCUGGCGGCGUGCUUAACACAUGCAAGUCGAACGGAAAGGCCCUGCUUUUGUGGGGUGCUCGAGUGGCGAACGGGUGAGUAACACGUGAGUAACCUGCCCUUGACUUUGGGAUAACUUCAGGAAACUGGGGCUAAUACCGGAUAGGAGCUCCUGCUGCAUGGUGGGGGUUGGAAAGUUUCGGCGGUUGGGGCUGGACUCGCGGCUUAUCAGCUUGUUUGUGAGGUAGUGGCUUACCAAGGCUUUGACGGGUAGCCGGCCUGAGAGGGUGACCGGCCACCUUGGGACUGAGAUACGGCGCAGACUCCUACGGGAGGCAGCAGUGGGGAAUAUUGCACAAUGGGCGGAAGCCUGAUGCAGCAACGCCGCGUGCGGGAUGACGGCCUUCGGGUUGUAAACCGCUUUCGCCUGUGACGAAGCGUGAGUGACGGUAAUGGGUAAAGAAGCACCGGCUAACUACGUG